CAGUGGUAGAACUGUUUUAACCAAAACAUCAGCAAGAUCAAUUUCAUCAACUCGACUUAAUAACACCAUAAGACAUUUUCGCAAAUGGGAUUCUAUACUGUUUGAAAUUGUCGGUUCGGGAAUAAUUUGAUAAGACCAUACCUUAAUAUAUUUUUGCAUAAAAUGUGAAAUAAUGGAUUCUAUCUCUUCAGAAAUUUCAGGUAUUCCUGGAUAUAAUGGCUGACGAAGAAGAAGUUUGGAAAGUGCCAAUUGACGCGCUCGUUUUUGGAAUAUAGCUGGGUUAACAAGAAAUGGCUCAGAUGUUCCAAGAUUAUUUUUAUUUUCAAACGUUCUCGUCUCCAAACAGUACCACAACAAACAACCAGAAGCCCAUAAAUAGAUAAUUUUGACAAAGAAACUAUGAGCAAGUAUCCAUAAGAUGAAGAUACCUCCAGUGAUAAAGUAAAAGAUAUGCUGCUGGUACAUUUGGUCCUAUAAUGGUAAGAGCCAAGUCCUUCUAUCUAUGGAUUUUCUAGUUGGAAAAAUGACAUUUCAGAAUUUUGAGGCAGUCGUUCUUUUUUGCAAACAAAGUGCACGAUAAUUUAAAUUUUUUUAUAUAAUUAUUCUUCCUUGUUAGAAAAAUGUAAAUUAAGUAUCUUCUACUACCGGAAAAUGGUAAGCAAAGAUCAGUGCACAAAAAAUCCUAAACGUGAGAUUUUGUAAUCAGAAUGACGAAAAAAAGAGAGACUUAUUGAAAAUUGAGCAAUUAUUCAAGAUACUCCCAAAUAAACAGCCAAGUUGACUAAUUAGUCGAAAUAGCCACUUUUCACCUCAAAACUUUGGUUUAUAUUUUAUCGUACAAUAACUGAAAUCAAUCGUCCAAAGAUGUAAUUUAUAGCAAGG